rnacentral:rRNA from 1 species
UACGUAGGGUGCGAGCGUUAAUCGGAAUUACUGGGCGUAAAGCGUGCGCAGGCGGUCCGUUGUGUCCGAUGUGAAAGCCCCGGGCUUAACCUGGGAAUGGCAUGGGAAACUGGCGGGCUGGAGUGUGGCAGAGGGGGGUGGAAUUCCGCGUGUAGCAGUGAAAUGCGUAGAGAUGUGGAGGAACACCGAUGGCGAAGGCAGCCUCCUGGGCCAACACUGACGCUCAUGCACGAAAGCGUGGGGAGCAAACAGG